rnacentral:rRNA from 1 species
UACGUAGGGGGCAAGCGUUGUCCGGAUUUAUUGGGCGUAAAGAGCGUGUAGGCGGCCAGGUAGGUCUGCUGUGAAAACUCGAGGCUCAACCUCGAGAUGUCGGCGGAAACCAUCUGGCUAGAGUCCGGAAGAGGAGAAUGGAAUUCCCGGUGUAGCGGUGAAAUGCGCAGAUAUCGGGAAGAACACCUGUGGCGAAAGCGGCUCUCUGGAACGGUACUGACGCUGAGACGCGAAAGCGUGGGGAGCGAACAGG